CGGCGUAGUGUGCCUUCGAGCAAAUAUUUGUCUGCAAAAGCAUAAUUUACUUUGCCAAAUUCCGAAGCCAAUGCCCAGUUAGAUGCACCUCCAUUGUUGGUUUGUAUCCCUGUGCCUCCGCUCAGAUACCGGUUUUCUAAAUCAUCAGAAGCAAAGUUAGUCCGGGAGGCAUCGAAUGAUUCAAAAUAGUCUUUAAUGGAUUCGGUUCCAAUUAAGAAAUUCAGCCGGUGGGCAUCUCCAAGGGUAAGAUUAUAGGUUAAUGUAUUAUACCAGGUCCAGGUCCACUCAUAGUUAUUACUGGUUUGUAAACUGUUAGAGCCUCUGGAUUCUGCAGAUUCUAUAUCCCGGAUUGUAUAGUUCCGGAAGUUGAACAAGUUAUAAUCAAUACCGAAACUGGUUUUGGCUGUCAGAUUUUUUAUUAUGUCUAUUUCGGCAUAGGCAU
rnacentral:misc_RNA from 1 species